GUUCCACUGCAAGCUGGGGAGACACAGACACGUGACCGUGCAGCCCAGGGACAGAGUCAAGGACCUUCCAGAGUGGGCUGAUGCCAGAAUCGCCUCUCUGCUUCUCCACUGCGUGUCGUCACAUCGGUUGAGCUACAAACCAGGGUGUUACUCAGAUCUGGAGAUGAUGUUCCAGCAGAGAUUCAUAAGCAUCUAGAUGAGAUACCUGAGCCUUGGCACAUUCGAGCAUGGGUGGAGACAAGCAGGCCGCGUCACCAGCCACUUGCUGCAGACGCCUCUCCCGGGGGGCUCUGAGGUCUCAUUCCCCGCAGAACAGGCCAGCAGAUCCACAAGGGCCUUCACCUGCUCAGCUGGGGAGCCAGUGCCAUGGGCCUGGCUGCCCUCCCCACCC